ACCCUUUGGAGAGGCCUGGCGCCCUCACUCUGUGAGAGCACUGUGGGAGCUCUGGGAGGAGCAGGCAGAGAGGUGUGGCCUUUUCCCACCUCUCACCUGCUCUCACCUGAGGCCAGCGAGGCGGCGGAACCACAGACAGACAGCAGUGUCGCAGAACCGUAGGAAGAGACCUGAUGUAAAGUGUGUGGUGACCCAGAGAGCAACAGGAAGCAGCUGCCAAGGGGCGACCCUGCAGCAGACAUGGGGGAGCGUCUCCACUGCAGACAAACCCCGCAGAGGACAGGGGACGUUGUCUCCAC
rnacentral:lncRNA from 1 species